GGGGUUGUAGCUCAGCGGUAGAGUGCUUGCCUAGCACAUGAGAGGCACAGGGUUCCAUCCUCUGCACCACA
rnacentral:tRNA from 1 species